UGCAAGUCGAACGAACAACUUCGGUCGUGAGUGGCAAACGGGAGAGUAACACCUUGGUAACCUACCUCUAAGAUGGGCAAAACAUGGAGAAAUCCGUGCUAAUUCCCAAUGUGCUGGUUCUACAUAAGUAGAAUUAGUAAAGCUCCGACGCUUAGAGAGGGGCCUAGGUUCCAUCAGCUUGUUGGUGAGGUAAAAGCUCACCAAGGCUACGACGGAUAGCGGGUGUGAGAGCAUGACCCGUCUCACAGGGACUGAGACACUGCCCUGACUCC
rnacentral:rRNA from 1 species